AGUGAACGCUGGCGGUAGGCCUAACACAUGCAAGUCGAACGGAAGCACAGUAAGAGCUUGCUCUUACGGGUGGCGAGUGGCGGACGGGUGAGGAAUACAUCGGAAUCUACUUUUUCGUGGGGGAUAACGUAGGGAAACUUAAGCUAAUACCGCAUACGACCUACGGGUGAAAGCAGGGGAUCUUCGGACCUUGCGGGAUUGGAUGAGCCGAUGAUGGAUUAGCUAGUUGGCGGGGUAAAGGCCCAGCAAGUCGACGAUCCGUAGCUGGUCUGAGAGGAGGGUAAGCGACACUGGAGCUGAGCCACGGUCCAGACUCCUACGGGACGCAGCAGUCGGGAAUGGUGGACAAUGGGCGCAAACCUGAUCCAGCCGUACCGAGUGGGUGGAGAAGGCCUUCGGGUUGUAAAGCCGUUUUGUUGGGUAAGAAAAGCAGCAGCUUAAUACCCCGCUGUUCUGACGGUACCCAAAGAAUAAGCACCGGCUAACUUCGUG
rnacentral:rRNA from 1 species